ACAAACAGAGUGGUGUGUGGCUGGCCGCGUGGUCUGUGACACCCUCAUCCCCACCCUGGCCAGGGCGCGGCGCCCCACACAGCAGAACACUUCCGGCCACGACUCCACUCAGGGCCCCACACCAGCCCCAGCCAGGCUCCACACCCUCAGAGAUGGCAGAAUAAAAGAAAACUGAGUAUUAGACAUCUGGUGAGCUGCAGGAAGGGUUGGGGGCGAGGCUGUGUAUAUAUGGCUAAAAGUGUUUGCAAGACACUCCGCCAUGCCACUGGGAUCACUAACUGUUGACCCGUGCCCCAUCAGGACGUCAUUGUCUCCAGUCGUGUGGUCCAGUGAGUCACCGCUCUACCGCACGACAGUGACCCCAAGGAAGUCCCGGU